rnacentral:rRNA from 1 species
AUGAACGCUGGCGGCGUGGCUAAGGCAUGCAAGUCGAGCGGAUUAUUUUUUGUAGCAAUACCGAGAAUAGUUAGCGGCAAACGGGUGCGUAACACAUUGGUAACCUACCUCGAAGUCGGGCACAACCAGUCGAAAGGCUGGCUAAUUCCACGAUGGUCAUAAGGGGACGCAAGUCUUCCUUAUGUAAAGCGCAAAACGCGCUUCGAGAGGGGCCUAUGGCCCAUCAGCUAGUUGGUAAGGUAACGGCUUACCAAGGCUAUGACGGGUAGGGGGUGUGAGAGCACGACCCCCCUCACUGGAACUGAGACACUGUCCAGACACCUACGGGUGGCUGCAGUCACGAAUAUUCCCCAAUGGACGAAAGUCUGAGGGAGCGACGCCGCGUGCAGGAUGAAGGGCUUCGGCUCGUAAACUGCUUUUGCCAGGGAAAAAAUCUGAUGGUACCUGGAGAAUAAGUGGUUGCUAACUCUGU